rnacentral:rRNA from 1 species
GACGAACGCUGGCGGCGUGCUUAACACAUGCAAGUCGAACGAAGAGCGAUGGAAGCUUGCUUCUAUCAAUCUUAGUGGCGAACGGGUGAGUAACGCGUAAUCAACCUGCCCUUCAGAGGGGGACAACAGUUGGAAACGACUGCUAAUACCGCAUACGAUCUAAUCUCGGCAUCGAGGAUAGAUGAAAGGUGGCCUCUACAUGUAAGCUAUCACUGAAGGAGGGGAUUGCGUCUGAUUAGCUAGUUGGAGGGGUAACGGCCCACCAAGGCGAUGAUCAGUAGCCGGUCUGAGAGGAUGAACGGCCACAUUGGGACUGAGACACGGCCCAGACUCCUACGGGAGGCAGCGGUGGGGAAUCUUCCGCAAUGGACGAAAGUCUGACGGAGCAACGCCGCGUGAGUGAUGACGGCCUUCGGGUUGUAAAGCUCUGUUAAUCGGGACGAAAGGCCUUCUUGCGAAUAGUGAGAAGGAUUGACGGUACCGGAAUAGAAAGCCACGGCUAACUACGUG